rnacentral:misc_RNA from 1 species
AAGUGUAACAAGGUUUCCGUAGGUGAACCUGCGGAAGGAUCGUUAAAAAAUGAGACCUGAUUCAAGGUCUAUUAUAUCCUACCUUUGUGAAUUUGUUUGUUUUAAUAUGUGUCUUUCCUGUUUGGUUUGAGCUUUGUUUAAAAGUUUCGAACUUCAGGGAAUGGCAAAACUUUUUUUAAAUUAAACUUUUUGUAUUCAUUUGUCUAAAAUUAUUUUAUAAUAUAUAAAACAACUUUUGACAAUGGAUCUCUUGGUUCUCGCAACGAUGAAGAACGCGCAAAAUGCGAUAAGUAGUGUGAAUUGCAGAAUACGUGAAUCAUCGAAUCUUCGAACGCAUAUUGCACUUUUUUGGUUUACCAAAAAGUAUGUCUGUUUGAGUAUCAGUAAAAUAUUCUCAUAAAACUAUUUGUUUUUAUGGUUAUGAGUGUUUUACAACGAUAAACAAGUUGUUUCACUUUAAAUUCUUUGUCUUUUAAAAAAUCAUUAAAAACUGAUUUUUUUUAAAUUGGAUAAAAUUUUCCCGUAAAAAGGAAUAACUAAACAAUUUUAAUUUAAAAUUGGUUUGAUUUCUUUUAAGACUUUAAAGGAAAAAAAGUAAAAAUUAACUUGAUCUCAAAUCAGAUAAGAGUACCCGCUGAACUUAAGCAUAUCAAUAAGCGGAGGAAAAGAAACUAACUAGGAUUCCCUCAGUAACGGCGAGUGAAGCGGGAAGAGCUCAAAUUUGAAAUCUUCAAGGUUCUACCUUGACGAAUUGUAGUUUAAAGAAGUGUUUUCUGUUGGAGUUUGGUAAAAGUUCUUUGAAUAGGAAUCAUAGAGGGUGAGAAUCCCGUAUUUGACAUUAUUCCAACUUUGUGAUACACUUUCAAAGAGUCGGAUUGUUUGGGAAUGCAGUCCAAAAUGGGUGGUAAAUUUCAUCUAAAGCUAAUACUGGCGAGAGACGAUAGCGAACAAGUACCGUGAGGGAAAGAUGAAAAGAACUUGAAAAGAGAGUAAACAGUACGUGAAAUUGUCAAAGGGAAGCGUUUGACACCAGUGUUGUUUCUCGAAAAUCAAUUAAAAAUGGCGGGAUUUUGUGUUGUAUUACUUUAUCAGCUUUCUGCACUUUUUUCCUGUCUUUUUUAAUGCACUUUUCGUUUAACAAGUCAACAUCAAUUUCUUUUGUUGUAAAAGGGUCAUUGGAAGGUGGCUUCUUUUCGAGAAAGUGUUUAUAGCUUUGGCUCUGCAAUCGGAGAGAUUGAGUCUGCAGCGUAGAUCCUUCGGGUUAGAUGCAUUUGUGCUAAGCUAUAGCCUUUCAUAGACAACUUGUUGACUAUGAUCAGUCAUGUAGCUUACUCGCUUAUGUCAUUUUACUACGCUUAGGAUGUUGAG